rnacentral:misc_RNA from 1 species
CUUAAAUCUUAAUAAUGAAACAAAAUGCACAUGUUCCUAAACUUUGAGAAAUCCAUAGAAAUCAAUAACCCAUCUAUUAGUUAUUUAAAUUCAAGGCAUUUACAACUUAAACUAAGUACAGUGCAAACCAUCAAUUCAACAGAACCCUCAAGUUUUAUUACCAGGACAAAAGUGGUUUUGCCCAGGGGGGAAAGAUGUAAAAAAGAGGAGAAUGAUCAAUGACUUUCAAGUACAGCGGCACCGAAACACAGGGGACGCUACAUAUGAUCUGACAAUGAUAAUGGGAUUUUUAGUUGUAGGCACCAGGAUUUGCCGAGAGAUAGGCUUCAAUAACCUUGAACAUUCCCAUGAUUUUUUCUUCACCAGCCUUGAUAAGGGCUUCAUUGAUCUCACUAUCACCCUUUGGGUAGUACUUGCUUGUGGUCUUGCAAAUGGAUCCCCCAUCAGCAGAUGGUACUAUUUUUACCUCAUAAUAAACUUUCUCUAAUGUGUCUAUCCAUGGUUCUCCUUCGAUGGAAGUGUAGGAAUACGUGAAAUUGUCUUUGUCUAUUGCUUCAAUCUUGUUCUUCACAUACUUGAAUUCGUUACCUUCUGCAAAGGUAGUCUUCUUAAUAGUUCCAGGCCCUCCAUUUCCUUCAAGGAUCUCUAUACUCUUAAUGGCCUGGGGCAGAAUCUGAGGGAUAAUGUUGUCAGCAUCGAGCACAAAGACCUUGAACAUCUUGGUUGGGGGGAUUCCAGUAGCAACCUCCGUUUCAUAAGUCAGAACACCCAUGAUAGCUCUUGAAAAAGACCAAACGAACGAAGGUGAAGGAGGAAUUAAGCAACAAGAGUAUAUUUUAGUAGAAUAUGUUGGUGCCGUCCAUUUCCUUCAAGGAUCUCUA